rnacentral:rRNA from 1 species
GUACCCCGUGAGGGAAAGUUGCAAAGCACUUUGAAGAGAGAGUUAAAGAGGACGUGAAACCGAUGAGGUGGAAACGGACAGAGCUGGCGUAUCUGGUCUGCAUUCAUCCGUGUGCUCGUGGGCGUUUGGGCGUCACUCUCCAGACUGGGAGGGCGUCCAUUCUGUUCAUGGGCUCGUGGAGCAUUUGCAGGCUGAGUGCGCUGAGACGCUCGGCGCAGCUGUAUGAGCUUGGCUUUGAGGCCAGCCCUUCGGGGUCUGGUACCCGGGCCGGGGGAGUGCUGUUUGCUCUGGGUGGUGUGCUGGUGCAAUGGCUACGGGUCCGUGUUGGGUUGAGCUGGCGGUCGGUGGCGGUCGCGUGCGACACGUGCCAGCGGUCAGUUCGGUCCCGCUCGGGCUCUCAUUGCAUGUUCUCGGUGUAAAAGCCGGUCAUCUGUCCGACCCGUCUUGAAACACGGACCAAGGAGUUUAGCGUGUGCGCGAGUCAUUGGGUGUUCAAAACCUAAGGGCGCAAUGAAAGUGAAGUCUCCUUGCGGAGCUGAUGUGUGAUCUCGUGCACCGCGGUGUGCGAGCGCAACAUAGUCCCGUCCCGAUCGCAUGCGAUGGGGCGGAGACAGAGCGUACGCGCUGAGACCCGAAAGAUGGUGAACUAUUCCUGAGCAGGAUGAAGCCAGAGGAAACUCUGGUGGAAGUCCGAAGCGAUUCUGACGUGCAAAUCGAUCGUCUGACUUGGGUAUAGGGGCGAAAGACUAAUCGAACCAUCUAGUAGUUGCUUUCCUAUCAAA